rnacentral:rRNA from 1 species
UCGAUGUCUAGGGGUUCUGAGAGGAUUGUCCCCCACACUGGUACUGAGGCACGGACCAGACUCCUACGGGAGGCAGCAGUGAGGAAUAUUGGUCAAUGGGCGAAAGCCUGAACCAGCCAUGCCGCGUGCAGGAUGACGGCGCUAUGCGUUGUAAACUGCUUUUCUACAGGAAGAAACCUACCCUCGUGAGGGUAGCUGCCGGUACUGUAGGAAUAAGCACCGGCUAACUCCGUGCCAGCAGCCGCGGUAAUACGGAGGGUGCAAGCAUUAUCCGGAUUUAUUGGGUUUAAAGGGUACGUAGGCGGAAUAUUAAGUCAGUGGUGAAAUCCUGCGGCUCAACCGUAGAACUGCCAUUGAUACUGAUAUUCUUGAAUGUAGUUGAGGUAGGCGGAAUGUGUAAUGUAGCGGUGAAAUGCUUAGAUAUUACACAGAACACCGAUUGCGAAGGCAGCUUACUAAACUAUUAUUGACGCUGAUGUACGAAAGCGAGGGGAGCGAACAGGAUUAGAUACCCUGGUAGUCCACGCUGUAAACGAUGAUCACUCGUUGUUUGCGAUAUAUUGUAAGCGACUGAGCGAAAGCAUUAAGUGAUCCACCUGGGGAGUACGUUCGCAAGAAUGAAACUCAAAGGAAUUGACGGGGGCCCGCACAAGCGGAGGAACAUGUGGUUUAAUUCGAUGAUACGCGAGGAACCUUACCUGGGUUUAAAUGUAGAUUGCAUGAUCGGGAAACUGAUCUUUCCUUCGGGACUAUUUACAAGGUGCUGCAUGGUUGUCGUCAGCUCGUGCCGUGAGGUGUCGGGUUAAGUCCCAUAACGAGCGCAACCCCUAUCGUUAGUUGCCAUCAGGUCAUGCUGGGGACUCUAACGAGACUGCCGGUGUAAACCGUGAGGAAGGUGGGGAUGACGUCAAAUCAGCACGGCCCUUAUAUCCAGGGCUACACACGUGUUACAAUGGUCGGUACAAAGAGCAGCCACUUGGUGACAAGGCGCUAAUCUCAAAAGCCGAUCACAGUUCGGAUCGAAGUCUGCAACUCGACUUCGUGAAGUUGGAUUCGCUAGUAAUCGCGCAUCAGCCACGGCGCGGUGAAUACGUUCCCGGGCCUUGUACACACCGCCCGUCAAGCCAUGGAAGCUGGGGAUGCCUGAAGUCUGUAACCGCAAGGAGCGGCCUAAGGUAAAACUAGUAACUGGGGCUAAGUCGUAACAAGGUA